UUGUAGGGGUUGUUGUGCUUGUUUGUUUGGAAUUUCUAUAUUGGAAUAGGAAUUGCUUGGAACAUGUGCCUGACACACAACUGCGAUCAUGGCUGCUAGAGCGGUACAGUUGUUAGAAUUUCUAUUUUUGAAUUGCUCAGAAGGUGUUCCUGCUUUGGACACAAAUGUGUUUUGACUCUUGCAGGGCUUAUGUUUGAUGUACAAUAUCCAAGAGGCACGUGAGCUGCAAGAGUUCACAUUCAGAUUUAACGAGAGACAAAUGCUGCUACAAACAUAAGUGUUGGUGAUUUCUGUACAUGCAUUGAACCAACUAAAGUUGACAUCGAAUCUGUACCUUCUUCCUUGGGCGCAAGAAUUGCGAAUAUCAAAUGCACCAACGGUUGAAGGAGCCCAUCCAUCCACUGAGAGCAUUGCAACUUUCGACAUGCCAUUGAUUAAUCUAUCUGUUUAGUCGCAUCAGAUACACCAUCCUUUAAUUAUAUUGCCGAUGUCACUGACAUAUAUGUAACUAAGAGAAAUAGGACUUUGUAUGGAUGUCAGACUAUUAUUAUUUUGAGGUGUUUCACUCUGAAGCUUUGUCGAGAUUAGUAUAUAGUGAUCAAUUUCAUGGAUUGCCAUUUGUUUU